GUAUUCCAUCUAAGCUAUACCGGCCAGAGACCGAUAGCGCACAAGUAGAGUGAUCGAAAGAUGAAAAGCACUUUGGAAAGAGAGUCAAACAGUACGUGAAAUUGUUGAAAGGGAAGCGCUUGCCGCCAGACCUGCCCGCGGGCGAUCACCCGUGGCCGUUCGCGGCCCGGGGCACUCGCCCGCGUCCAGGCCAGCACGGGUUCGGGCGGCGGGAGAAUGGGCCCGGGAAUGUAGCUCCCUGCGGGGUGCCUUAUAGCCCGGGCCGUCACGCCGCCCGCCCGGACCGAGGACCGCGCUCCGGCUAGGGUGCUGGCGUAAUGGCGGCAAGCGACCCGUCUUGAAACACGGACCAAGGAGUCUAACGUCUACGCGAGUGUUUGGGCGUCAAACCCACGCGCGGAAUGAAAGUGAACGGAGGUGAGACCCCCUCCGGUCCCCGGGGGGGGCGCAUCAUCGACCGGUCCGGAUGUCUUCGGAUGGAUCUGAGUACGAGCGUAGCUGUUGGGACCCGAAAGAUGGUGAACUAUGCCUGAAUAGGGUGAAGCCAGAGGAAACUCUGGUGGAGGCUCGCAGCGGAUUCUGACGUGCAAAUCGAUCGUCAA
rnacentral:rRNA from 1 species